UACGUAGGAUCCAAGCGUUAUCCGGAUUUAUUGGGUUUAAAGGGUGCGUAGGCGGAUUGAUAAGUUAGAGGUGAAAUGUCCGAGCUUAACUCGGGAACUGCCUCUAAUACUGUUGAUCUAGAGAGUAGAUGCGGUAGGCGGAAUGUAUGGUGUAGCGGUGAAAUGCUUAGAGAUCAUACAGAACACCGAUUGCGAAGGCAGCUUACCAAUCUAUAUCUGACGUUGAGGCACGAAAGCGUGGGGAGCAAACAGG
rnacentral:rRNA from 1 species